UGGGGUGUAGCUCAGUGGUAGAGUGCUUGCCCAGCAUGUGCAAAGCCCUGGGUUUGAUUCCCAGAACUGCAA
rnacentral:tRNA from 1 species